UACGAAGGGGGCUAGCGUUGCUCGGAAUCACUGGGCGUAAAGCGCACGUAGGCGGCUUGUUAAGUCAGGGGUGAAAUCCUGGAGCUCAACUCCAGAACUGCCUUUGAUACUGGCGAGCUUGAGUUCGGGAGAGGUGAGUGGAACUGCGAGUGUAGAGGUGAAAUUCGUAGAUAUUAGGAAGAACACCAGUGGCGAAGGCGGCUCACUGGCCCGGUACUGACGCUGAGGCGCGAAAGCGUGGGGAGCAAACAGG
rnacentral:rRNA from 1 species